rnacentral:rRNA from 1 species
GAUGAACGCUGGCGGCGUGCCUAAUACAUGCAAGUCGAGCGAACAGACGAGGAGCUUGCUCCUCUGACGUUAGCGGCGGACGGGUAAGUAACACGUGGAUAACCUACCUAUAAGACUGGGAUAACUUCGGGAAACCGGAGCUAAUACCGGAUAAUAUAUUGAACCGCAUGGUUCAAUAGUGAAAGACGGUUUUGCUGUCACUUAUAGAUGGAUCCGCGCCGCAUUAGCUAGUUGGUAAGGUAACGGCUUACCAAGGCAACGAUGCGUAGCCGACCUGAGAGGGUGAUCGGCCACACUGGAACUGAGACACGGUCCAGACUCCUACGGGAGGCAGCAGUAGGGAAUCUUCCGCAAUGGGCGAAAGCCUGACGGAGCAACGCCGCGUGAGUGAUGAAGGUCUUCGGAUCGUAAAACGCUGUUAUUAGGGAAGAACAAAUGUGUAAGUAACUAUGCACGUCUUGACGGUACCUAAUCAGAAAGCCACGGCUAACUACGU